AGCUUGCUACCUGACCUAGCGGCGGACGGGUGAGUAAUGCUUAGGAAUCUGCCUAUUAGUGGGGGACAACAUUCCGAAAGGAAUGCUAAUACCGCAUACGCCCUACGGGGGAAAGCAGGGGAUCUUCGGACCUUGCGCUAAUAGAUGAGCCUAAGUCAGAUUAGCUAGUUGGUGGGGUAAAGGCCUACCAAGGCGACGAUCUGUAGCGGGUCUGAGAGGAUGAUCCGCCACACUGGGACUGAGACACGGCCCAGACUCCUACGGGAGGCAGCAGUGGGGAAUAUUGGACAAUGGGCGAAAGCCUGAUCCAGCCAUGCCGCGUGUGUGAAGAAGGCCUUUUGGUUGUAAAGCACUUUAAGCGAGGAGGAGGCUACUUGGAUUAAUACUCUAGGAUAGUGGACGUUACUCGCAGAAUAAGCACCGGCUAACUCUGUGCCAGCAGCCGCGGUAAUACAGAGGGUGCGAGCGUUAAUCGGAUUUACUGGGCGUAAAGCGUGCGUAGGCGGCUUUUUAAGUCGGAUGUGAAAUCCCUGAGCUUAACUUAGGAAUUGCAUUCGAUACUGGGAAGCUAGAGUAUGGGAGAGGAUGGUAGAAUUCCAGGUGUAGCGGUGAAAUGCGUAGAGAUCUGGAGGAAUACCGAUGGCGAAGGCAGCCAUCUGGCCUAAUACUGACGCUGAGGUACGAAAGCAUGGGGAGCAAACAGGAUUAGAUACCCUGGUAGUCCAUGCCGUAAACGAUGUCUACUAGCCGUUGGGGCCUUUGAGGCUUUAGUGGCGCAGCUAACGCGAUAAGUAGACCGCCUGGGGAGUACGGUCGCAAGACUAAAACUCAAAUGAAUUGACGGGGGCCCGCACAAGCGGUGGAGCAUGUGGUUUAAUUCGAUGCAACGCGAAGAACCUUACCUGGUCUCGACAUAGUAAGAACUUUCCAGAGAUGGAUUGGUGCCUUCGGGAACUUACAUACAGGUGCUGCAUGGCUGUCGUCAGCUCGUGUCGUGAGAUGUUGGGUUAAGUCCCGCAACGAGCGCAACCCUUUUCCUUAUUUGCCAGCGGGUUAAGCCGGGAACUUUAAGGAUACUGCCAGUGACAAACUGGAGGAAGGCGGGGACGACGUCAAGUCAUCAUGGCCCUUACGACCAGGGCUACACACGUGCUACAAUGGUCGGUACAAAGGGUUGCUACCUAGCGAUAGGAUGCUAAUCUCAAAAAGCCGAUCGUAGUCCGGAUUGGAGUCUGCAACUCGAC
rnacentral:rRNA from 1 species